AACUUACUAUUACCAACAGGUGGCGCUAUGACUUUUUCAAAAUUUAUGAGUGUGGAUGUGUUCAGACUGGACCUGAUAUCCAGCAUGUGAAGUCUGAGGCAGAUAGGAUGUUGUUCAGCUGAGAUAUGAAUCGUUAAAUUUUCAUGGCGAAACAUCGAAAUUGGUUUGGCCGCCACAGACACGCCCUUUGAUGACAAGUCACCAUUUUCACUGGAAUGCAUCAUCAAUGUGUUUAGGCUGUUGUCACUGCAUUUGAAGUGAAUAUGAAUAUGAGCUAUAAAUUUUGACAAAUGUACAGCAAAUUCAAGAUGGCCGACUUCCUGUUGGGUUUAGGGUCUGGCUGUGAUUGACUUUUUGGUGUGUUGUGAUGUGGUGCAUAUGCCCACCAAAUAUUGUAGCUGUAAAUGAAACAUUGUGGCAGUUGGCCUGAUGACCACUUUUUCAAUUUUGUAGGUGGCGCUAUAGAGCCAUUUUGCCACACACAUGCGCAACUCCCAUAAAAUAUCAAAUUUUUCGCCAGUCCUGAUGUGCACGCCAAAUUUCACGCGUUUUGGUUUAUGAUAAGGCCCCCAAAAAGGCAAUUCAUUUGCCGGGAGAAAUUAAUUUUGACAAAUUUACAGCAAAUUCAAGAUGGCCGACUUCCUGUUGGGUUUAGGGCAUGGCUGUCAUUGACUUUUUGGUGUGUCCUGAUGUGGUGCAUAUGCCCACCAAAUAUUGGAGCUGUAAAUGAAACAUUGUGGAAGUUGGCCUAAUGACCACUUUUCAAUUUUGCAGGUGGCGCUAUAGAGCCAUUUUGCCACACACAUGCGCAACUCCCAUAAAAUAUCAAAUUUUUCGCCAGUCCUGAUGUGCAUGCCAAAUUUCACGCGUUUUGGAGUAUGAUAAGGCCGCCAAAAAGCCAAUUUACUUUACGGGAGAAAAAAAAAUAAAAUAAUAAUAAUAAUAAUAAUUAAAGCUGCAAGCAGCGAUGGACGGGUCCUCGCAUCCACGCUGGUCGGCGAAUCCAUGCACGUCCACCAGGUGGCGUUGUGACUGAGAGUGUGUGCUGGCCUCUGAAUCACAUCUGGACCAGAGUUUAAUCACACGUAAAAUUUCAGCCAGAUUGGAGCAUGUUCAGACUUGUUACACAGCAUUUCCUGCCCAUCCACCACCAGGUGGCGCUGUAACUCAGAGUGUAUUUCAAACAGUGGAUGUGAUGAGGGUUGGACUCUGAUCACUCAUGAAAAGUUUCAGGCUGAUUUGAUCAUGUAGAGGCCAGUUAUACAACAUUUACUGUCCCUCCAACAGGUGGCGCUGCAACUGAGAGUGUCUGUUGGCCUGUAGAUGUGAUCAGGAUUGGAUUGUGAUGACACAUGGAAAGUUUGAGGCAGAUUGGAGCAUGCAGAAGAGAGUUAUACAGCAGUUGUUGUUUCAUGGCGAAGCAUCAAAACUGUGAUGGUCGCCAUGGCCACGCCAUUUGGCUUCUGGUUAAACUUUUGAUAACUUUUCAUCACCAAGUCCUGCUGUGUGGACUGACAAAAUUUCAGGUCUCCUGGAAUUAUCCCCUAGGAGGUAUUAACUCUCAAAAAUGAGAAAAAUCAUCAAAAAUCUCACAAUUAAUCCAAGAUGGCCGACUUCCUGUUGGGUUUAGGACAUGGCUCCAAGAGGCUUUUUUGUGCGUCCUGAUGUGCUCUAUAAGCCUCCCAAAUUUCAUGGAUGUAGGUGAAAUGUGCUGGGGGGGCUGUUUGUUAAAAAUACUGUAGGGGGCGCUAUAGCAUGUGCAGUGCCGAGAUGCAUACGGUGUCGUUCCUCGGGUCGAUGGUGAUGUGUGUGGUAAUUUUAGUGAGCAUUGGAGUAUUUCUAACCUGUCAAACAGCACUUUGUUUUGCAUGGCGAUAUUUGGUUGCUACGGUAACAGCGUUGCAUGAAAUGUCACACCCUUCACAGUGUGUGAUUGUCAAGAGGUGAAGACUCGACUGACCAAUUUCCAGCAUGAUAUCACCAAGUUUGGGGCCAUUGUACCUGAAAAUAUAAGGCCUUAAACUUACUAUUACCAACAGGUGGCGCUAUGACUUUUUCAAAAUUUAUGAGUGUGGAUGUGUUCAGACUGGACCUGGUAUCCAGCAUGUGAAGUCUGAGGCAGAUAGGAUGUUGUUCAGCUGAGAUAUGAAUCGUUAAAUUUUCAUGGCGAAACAUCGAAAUUGGUUUGGCCGCCACAGACACGCCCUUUGAUGACAAGUCACCAUUUUCACUGGGAUGCAUCAUCAAUGUGUUUAGGCUGUUGUCACUGCAUUUGAAGUGAAUAUGAUCAACCGGGUAACAAUAGGGCAUGAAAGUGUAAAAGAUGUCUAUUUCCUGAAACCACAAGGUGGCGCUAUGACUGUCAAUGAAUAUCCCUAUGUGGAUGACAUCAGGACAGGACUGUCAUCAUACAUGUAAAGUUUCAGGCAGAUUGGAGCAUGUUGAGAAGAAUUAGACACCAAUUCCUGUUUCAUGGCGAAGGAUCAGUUGUUUGAGGCUCCGCCAUGGCCACACCUUUUGGCUUCUGGUUGAGUUUUUGAUAACUUUUCAUCAGAAAGGUCUGGUGCAUGUACUGGCCAAAUUUCAGUUCUCUCAGACUUACCCCCUAGGAGCUAUAAAUUUUGACAAAUGUACAGCAAAUUCAAGAUGGCCGACUUCCUGUUGGGUUUAGGGUGUGGCUGUGAUUGACUUUUUGGUGUGUCCUGAUGUGGUGCAUAUGCCCACCAAAUACUGUAGCUGUAAAUAAAACAUUGUGGAAGUUGGCCUAAUGACCACUUUUUCAAUUUUGCAGGUGGCGCUAUAGAGUCAUUUUUCCACACAUAUGCGCAACUCCCAUAAAAUAUCAAAUUUUUCGCCAGUCCUGAUGUGCACGCCAAAUUUCACGCGUUUUGGAAUAUGAUAAGGCCGCCAAAAAGGCAAUUCAUUUCCCGAGGAGCGAUUAAGUUUGAAAAAUUUACAGCAAAUUGAAGAUGGCCGACUUCCUGUUGGGUUUAGGGCGUGGCUGUAAUUGACUUUUUGGUGUGUCCGGAUGUUGUGCAUAUGCCCACCAAAUAUUGUAGCUGUACAUGAAACAUUGUGGCAGUUGGCCUAAUGACUACUUUUUCAACUUUGCAGGUGGCGCUAUAGAGCCAUUUUGCCACGCACAUGCACAACUCCCAUAAAAUAUCAAAUUUUUCGCCAGUCCUGAUGUGCAUGCCAAAUUUCACGCGUUUUGGAGUAUGAUAAGGCCGCCAAAAUGCCAAUUUACUUUACGGGAGAAAAAAAAAAAAAAAAAAAAUUUAAAGCUGCAA